AUGACCGGAACCGGCCGACGAUGGAGAGGAAUGGGUAGGGGAGGUCGAGAGGAAGCCAAACCGGUUGCGACCCUGGCGAGGAUGGCCGAAAUCGGCCGACGGUGGAGAGGAAUGGGCAGGGGAGGGCGAGAGGAAGCCAAACCGGUUGCGGCAGCACGGGGCGGCACCGGAGCUGCCCGUAAUUGGCCGACGACGGUGGAGGCAAAAAGGGGAUCGAGCAGGCGGCGGGCCGGUGAGGCAGGCGGUGGGGGACGGGGGGCGAAGUCGCAGCUGGCCCGGCGGCCGCCGGAGAAGCUUCGAUUCGGCAACGGCCAAAAGUGA
rnacentral:rRNA from 1 species